AAUGGGGGCAACCCUGAUCCAGCCAUUCCGCGUGAGUGAAGAAGGCCUUCGGGUUGUAAAGCUCUUUCAGCAGGAACGAAACGGUGGCCACUAAUACUGGCUACUAAUGACGGUACCUGAAGAAGAAGCACCGGCUAACUACGUGCCAGCAGCCGCGGUAAUACGUAGGGUGCGAGCGUUAAUCGGAAUUACUGGGCGUAAAGCGUGCGCAGGCGGUUCCAUAAGACAGAUGUGAAAUCCCCGGGCUUAACCUGGGAACUGCGUUUGUGACUGUGGGACUCGAGUGUGGCAGAGGGGGGUGGAAUUCCACGUGUAGCAGUGAAAUGCGUAGAGAUGUGGAGGAACACCGAUGGCGAAGGCAGCCCCCUGGGUCAACACUGACGCUCAUGCACGAAAGCGUGGGGAGCAAA
rnacentral:rRNA from 1 species